AAAAAUUGGUUUCAUAUUACCAAUGAAAAGGACUAACUGCAGCUAUUUUGAGAGCUAUAAUACCUCCUUUAAGCCACAAAGAUACUUUACCUUAACAACUAAUGUAUUCUCCUGAUCACUUACAGUAUGAAAUACUGAACAGUAAGGACACUGCAAACACUUGGAAUCCUCUUACAUAAUAUAAAGGCAGUCUGAAAAUCCCAUUAUAUACAAAUACCUGCAGACUCUUCCUUCAAAUACAAAAUGCGAAAGUAAAUAUUGCCACCAUUCCUCAAGUUUUGAAAAUAAUUUUGUUUGUGUCCUUAACAGUAUUUUUGUCUAAAAAGGGAGAAAAGGAAAUUCUUAUGGGUAGUUUUCCGAAGAGAGAAAAGAGAAGAGGAUAAAUUGUAUUUGUGGCUCAUGAAAGAUCCCGCAUUGCUCACCUUGGCUAGCAGCAAGUAUUGGAGAAGUGGUAAGAGAGGUGAGAGGCGCCAGGGAGGAGCCGGGAGUUGCCGAUAAAAAAGUCCUCUACUGUACAUACUUCUCAGAGGUCAGAAGUUCAAUUAUACAUUCCUUUGUAGCCCCAGGUUCAAAUCUAAAAAUCUCUUGCAGAUGCUCAAUGAUUAACAAACAGGGAAACAGAAUAUUUUGGUUUAUUUGCUAGGCAGAAAAAUUUGAUAAACUUUAGGAUUCCUGCGAUUUUGUGAAGUUUUAAAUGAAGAAUCAACUACUGUUAGCCCAAUUGGAGUCCAAACAUAACUAUUUUAGAGUAGAGCAAGAGAAAGUAGGAGACAAGAACAUAUUAGCUUAAAACCUAGGACACCAAAAUGAAGGUAAAAUUUAUGCAUAACAUCAAAUUAAAGGAAAAAUGCACAGAGGCAAAGGGAGUAUAAAUGAGUAAAAAUUACUUUAGAAAAUUGUUUGACAGCAUCCGCUAAACUUGAACGUACAUGCUUCCUGUCAGCCGGCAAUUCCACUACUAGGCAUUCAAUAGUGCAUAGUAGAACACUACCCAUUAAAUGAGGGGAGGUUGGUAAAAGGGUACAACCUUUCCAUUAUAAGAUGAAUGAGGGGAAGAUCUAAUAUAUAACAUGGUGACUAUAGUUGAUAACACUGUAUUCUAUCAUUGAAAUUUGUAAAAAACAGAACAUAAAUGUUCUCACACAAAAAAGUGAGAAGUGAGGUGAUAGAUGGGAGAAAACUCACAAUGUAUAUAUACAUCAAAUCAUCAUUUUGUGUACUUUAAAUAUCUUACAAUUUUAUUUGUCAAUUAUACUUCAAUUAAGCUGGAAAAAAAACACUGCAUGUUGGGUACCUACUUACACAAACAGUAAGAACAGUGAACUUUUUAAAUCUUUUUUCUUCCCAACAGAAAUAUAUACAUAUGUGCACCAAAAGAUGUGUAAAAGAAUCUUCAGAAUAGCAUUAUUCUUAAUGCAAAAAAUUGGAAACAACUCAAAUGUCCAACAGCUGUAGAAUGGAUGAUAAAUUAGUAGUUUAUUCAUGCAAUGGGAUACUGUACAGAAAUGAAAAUAAAACCAUAGGUAUGUCCAAUAUCAUAGAUAAAACAAGAGAGCAUAUACUUUGGGAUGUCUGGGAGGCUCAGGUGGUUAAAUACCUACUCUUGAUCUCAGCUCAGGUCUUGAUCUCAGGGUCAUGAGUUCAAGCCCCAUGUUAAGCUCUGUGCUGAGCAUAGAGCCUACUUUAAAAAAAAAAAAAGGCACAUAUACUGAACAAAAUAAGUCAAAUUCAAAGGAGCACAUGUUGUAUGUUCUGGACAGUAUGAAGUAGGAAAGCAGGCAAAACAAUCUAGUGAGGAUAGUGGUUACUCUGGGGGAGGAGAGUGGAGUAUGUUGAGAGAAAGGAUAAAUGGGACUAUGGGGAUGCUGGUAUUGUUCUAAUCCCAAACAUAGGUGUUAGUUACACAAUGUCUUUAUUUUGUGCCAGUGCAUUCACUGAUAAAUGCUUAGGAUUUGCAUACUUUCUUUUCAGUAGCAAAAGCAAGUUAAAAGAAGAAAGAUACAGAUGUGUAAAAUCUCCUAUAGUAAACUGUGCUUUUGACCUUUCCAAUUCAAAUGCAGUUGGAAUUAUUGCCUCAUGUAAACGGUAACCAAAGGUGUGUGAUGUGGGAGACUGCACCAUGGCCAUUUCUCUAAUCCCUUUCCUGGUGCCACUUAUCAUUAAGAGGUAUAUUCUUAUUACUGCACUGUUGAAACCAAAUGAGAUACCCAACACUGAAGCUGAGUUUUUAAUCUGAAUCCUAAUUCAAAUUUUGGCCUGCUCGCAAUAGGAAUCUAUUUUUACACCUCUGUGAGAGGUUUGCAUGUGGGUAUAUGACUUGCUUUGGCCAACAGAUCAUUAGCACACAUGAUGCACAGGGAAGCUUGAAGAGUCUUAUGCAUUGGGGCUUGUCCUCUCUGAUGCUAGAAAUCUUUCCUUUACCAAGUGCAUGAGCCCAUGCUAAGCUUGCUGGAUCAUGAGUGGCUGUGGCCAUGCCAUUAGCUGACACCGAGCCAAUUGCCACAUAUAAAAAAAAGCACCCGCACCCCUCCAGACCAAACUGGCUGCCAAGCACCAAAUGGGAGUGGGCCCAUUAAGUCAUUGGAUUUAGAGUAGUUUGCUACACAACAAAAGCUAACUGAUAUGCACAGUAAUGACCCCUGAACUUUUUGCACAGCAAUUAAUAUAAUACCUACCACAUAAAACUAAUAUGCACUUAACAGAUGUUCUUAAUAAUGAUGGAGAUUUCUUCUCAUUCUUCCUUUCCCCCUGAAUAGUUUCACAACAUAAACGUAAUUAUUAAAUAUUUUCAAUGUUUGUUACAUUAUUUUUAUCACUGUUGAGUUUGUUUUGUUUUGUUUUCCUAAACCGGCUUCUUUGAAAUCUUCAGGAAUAACCUUCAGAUAUGUUAGUUACAGUUUUACUCCCACAAACCAUGCUGAUUAGUUAACUGUCUAUUUGGAAAACAAUAGUCAAAACUGUUCUUCAGCACUUCAUGAUUUUAUUUUUUUUGAAGAAAUAUAUUCCUGUCAGAGAAAUUGAACAAGUUUACUGUGGAAGGUUGUGGAAUCUACUUUGGAAGAAAGAUUUCUCUCCUCUUUGGACACAUCUAAAGGUGGGGAAGAGGCAGAAGGAGAGCAUGAGCAGGAAUCUCAAGCAGGAUCCAUCCAGCACAGACCAACAGGGCAUUCAGUCUAACCAUGAGAUCAUGACCUGAAUGGAAAUAAAGAGUCAGAGGCUUAACCAACUGAGUCACACAGGCACCCUGUAGAUUCUACAUAUUAUCCUUGGAAACCACCACUGUUUCUACAAAUUUGAUUAUUGCAGGUGCCUCACAGUCCCUUGUCCCUUGGAUUCUUGGACCCAGUUGGAUGAAGCGCAAUCUGGAAGAGACAGGUCCUUAUAUGAAAGAUAAACUACUGGAGGGGUUUGGAAUAUGAAUACUUGUGGAAAGCCAAAGCUGAAUGAUCCAAUGACUUUGCGACGCUAAAGGGAGUUUAUGACAAACCCAUGUUACAACUGAAUAAAAUCCAGUUGCUUCCACUGGCCCCUCACCUUGUCUUGACUUCUAGGGGCUCCCUGUUCCCUGACCUCUCACUUCUCUGAGCCUCAAAUUCAUGGUUAGUUUGAUAGUUGGCUUUGAACUCCUGAUCCUACUUAUUUUUGUGCCAGGAUCUAUCUGUGUUGCUUCUCUCAGUUCUGGCUGCUCAGUCUGACUCACUGCAAUCCCACUGCAAUCAACGUGCCUGGUGUUUCACACUUUGACAUACUUCCCACGAGGAUGUGGCCCUACAAUAAGGAAAGAAUUUGCCCCAACACCCAUUGACCCAUACCAUGCAAUGCCUAUUGUUGUGGCUGAAUACAGAGGUUACCCAAUGACAUUCAGGUAAUUCUAGCAGCUACUAUUUAGGUUGAUUCACCAGAAAGUUCCAACAGGCCCUUUAAAACAUGAUAAGAUGGCAUGGGCUGUUCCAGUUACAUAAUGUUCCAGUUACAUUGGGUGGGAAGAUCUAAGUUAGAAUUAAUUACUGGUUCUUUCAGUCAUUAGCUGGGAACCAAUUUAAGGCAGCUUUAUGCUCAUACCUAUGUGCUGGAAGUUACAUAUUAAGACAAGCCUUGACUAUCAAGUUAAAUAAAUAUCAGGCUGAAGGAAAUUAAGGGUAUAUAUCAUGGCAUGUACCAUGGACAAGUAAACUAAGCAUUUUGACUGAAAUAAAAACAUACUUUUGCUAUCCCAGUCAAACUACAUGCUAAAUAGAUUGAGAAGAAGAAAAUAGCAUCGUACAAAUCUAUGGCUUGGAAACUGGAUUGGCAUCAACACAACUAAGGAAAUCCAAGCCAGAUUCGAGAUGUGCUGAAAACCAAAUUUCCUAAAGGCCUGGAAGACUUUGGCAUGUAGUACUGAGCUGUUAAAUUCUAGAGCGAUUUCAUUUGUGCCAGCUACUUACCAUCACCAGCAUCAAACUUGCAUAACUACACUACUGUUUUACUGCUGAAAAUGAACUUUUGUUGGCCUGAAUAUGUGCAGAGGGUAAAUGGCAAGAAGAGAUCUGAUCCGCUAUGGGGAAAGCUAAAGGGAAACAUUCGUAGGAGAAGCCUCCAGCAUAAAGAACUCCUCAAAGACAUUCAGCAGAACGAUUUCCGUGUACAAGAUAGCCAUUACCUGGCCUGAAACAACAGACUUAGCAGACUCACUUCAUAUGAGGCCCUCUGAAACAACAGUGAGGAACAAAGAUCUCCCAAAGAUCAUAAAGUGAAGAGUGAUGAUCACAGGCAGCAACAUGGGGAUAGAUAAUUGCUGCUCUCUGGUAUAAAAACACAACUUUCAAUACAAUGUUUGCAGUGGAUGCUGUUGUGAACCACCCAGAUGCCCCUUUCAAGGCUGAGGUGUUCUUUCUCUCAGCUGCCUGGUACUGGGGCUGCUGUCUGCUCACAGCCCAUUUCCUAACCCCCUGCUGAAGAGAGCUGCCUUUCCCAAGAUCAUGCCCCUUCCUGGGACAGCCCACAUCCUGGGGCUGUUGAUCAGGGGAUACAAAGGCCUGUCUCCCUUGUCUCUAAGAAACCCUAAGGGGCCAUCCCAAGUAGAUAGGUCCCCUGUAGGUGUGUGGGUGGCCUCUAUUAUAUCUGCCUCAGGUUCCCUCUCACUCUGCCCUUUUAUCCUGCUCCCCUCCUGCUCCAACAAGGAUUGUUCCUGAACAGUCCCCUCAGUAAACCUUUUGCAGGCAAAUCUCCAUCUCAAUCCCUUUCCCCAGGAAACCAACCUAAGACAUACCCAUCUGAUCCUAACACCACAUGGUGGAACAAACAUGAUCAACACAUGCUUGUUCCCGCCUUCCUUUCUCCUACUCCUCUAAAGAGGAGUCAGGCUUUGCCUAUUCCCUAUCUUGGCCUCCGGCCUCCUCCAAGUAGCAUCCUGCUUGGCAGAGUCUUGACAGAAGGAUAAAGGUGGUGGGGGCAAGGGUUAGUGUUGGCAAAGAGGCGCAGGAGAAGCUGUGGCAAAUAAAGAAACUGGGGUUGAAUGGGGAUUUUAAGAAAUACCGUUAUGCUCAACCCAACCCUUUCACGGCAUUCAAGCAAAAGAAGCACAGAGCUUGGAUUGUUGGGAAGUUAAUUUUUGUGACUGGACUGCCAUUCCACUCUGGGCUUGGGUGACAGUGGUCACAAUUUUUAAGCUUUUCCUGUGAAUAUAGGCAAUCUCAUCUUUAGAUGUCAGUGGCGAUGCCAGCAGAACUGUAUGUUUCAGGAGUGCUUUAAGAUGGGGCAUAGUUUUACUGUGUCUAAUCCACACUCUUUGAAUGCUAUGAAUUUAAGUCCACAAAAAUAGAAUUAUAGGUUUCAGGGCUUUAAACAAAAAUGUUUGUAACAAUAGAAAAAUAAUUAAACUAUUGUUUCAGCCUUUAUCACAAGAGACAUAUGAACAACUAACUAUUAACACAUUCUUCUGAAACAUCUACACAUGUCAGUCAUGUGCAUGUGGGAGCUAAGGACAAAGGGCAGCACACCCUAAUGGUAUAACUGUCUGUCAGAAUUUUAUGUGCAGAAGACAGUCUGUGACAGGCCUUUUAGAUUCUCUAAGUUACGAUUUUUGUUCUAAUUCCCAAUAUCACUGGCACACAAGUGGCAUCUCUGAGGAGUCUGGCCAGGCUGGAGUACACGCAAGAGCACCUGUGGAAAUGACAAGAAGGGGUCCCUCUCAUGUUAGGCCUUCUCAGCCCGGGACUACAUCCUAACUAGACUCUCUUGUUUGAGUUGCUUGUGAAUCACGGCAUCCUGAGUUACAGGAUGGAUUUUCUAUUUUCUUUCUUUUUUCUAUUGAGAAUUGCCAGCAGUUUUUCUUAAGAGUAGAAAAUUUCCAAGAACAAGCCUUAAGAAUACAAACAAGUAUUUUAAUGAUGCAUUUAGGACAAGUUUUCCAAACACAAUAUUUUCUUCGGGGUAUAGUUCCAAUAGCUGGUAGUGAUCAUGAGCUGUUAGCAAUCUAGGAAUCAGAGGCAGUUAUGUUCCAAAUCUACCAAGAUGCUCCAACCUGUCAUCCUUAGACAUGUACUUUCAAGGCCUAAGAGACAAGCUUUACUCUUGAGGAUCUCUGUUCUUGAGUUCAGUUGUUAAAUCCAGGGAUAAAAGACUAAUUGGGGAAACCCAAAACAAGAAGAUUAAGCAUCCUUCAGAGGAAAGGCUAGGGUGUGGUGGGUUGCCUAUGUCCCUUCUGUGUCCAGCCCAACACAGAGAGCUGUUGGGCUGUCCUGAAGCCAGUGCCAUUUCUGUCCUGUGCCAGUGCUCCUGGCAACCUUUGAAGGUGAUCAUCAGCAAUCAAUACC